rnacentral:lncRNA from 1 species
AAAAUGAUUCUUUGGUUUUAUUAUUGCAAAGACCAUUUAUAAAAUCAUGAACUGGAUUUAGGAAAGCAACCAUGAAAUAGCAAGGGACAACAAACUGAUUGAAAUUCCUUAAAUGUAGCAUGGGCUGAAGUCUCUCAGACAGUAAGAUUGGGGGGAAAGUUAUAUAUAGGCACCUCCAUUCUGAUUUCAGUAGCGUGACCUGCUCACUUAAACGUGGCAACUUCAGAUCAUGGACCACGCCUCAAGGAACUAAAUCCUAAAUAAAGAAAAUGGAAAAGCAAACUAUGAAAUAGCCAAUAAUCUUUAUUUUGCACUUCCCCCACCCCUCACCCCUCUCCAAAAACCACUAACGCGCAUUUUUGUGCAUGUGAAAAUAUUGUAUAAAGUAUUUAGAAUGAUCUCAAAUUAAUCAAACAAAAAAACACAUAUCUCAACAUAGAUGCUUCUGGGAUUAUUUCAAAAUCAAGUAAAAGUCCGUAUUUAUCCCAAAGUUGCUAAAAUAUGCUAAUAAAGUUAAAUUUGAUGUUUUUUUAACAUUAAAAAUAAAAUAUUUGGUUUACCUCUCAGACAUCUAUAACAUAUAAUAAAUAGUGGGCAGUAUAAUAAUAUAAUAAAGUUUUGUGAUACCCUGAAAUUUGAUGAGUUUUCUUAAAAAAAUUCAUAAUAUACUUCAUUUCAGCCUUAAAGCACAAUAUUAAUGAACAGAUUUGUAGAAAUAAAACAAUAUAAAGACAAAAUGCUACAGUACAUUACAGACCUGGCUGAAAUCACAGUGGAUUUCAGAGAAAGCCAGAAUUAAACAC